UCAGAUACGACUGCUAAGCCAAGACUGAGCGUAGCAGUGAGGCGCAUGCAAGGGCUGGCACAGGCACAAGAAAAAUACAACAGUGUUGCCAACAGAAGCACGGACAGUUUCCCUGCAUCCCAAGUGCUUUGGAGCCCUUACUUUUGGGAUUACCCUCCUGAUAUACCCUCCAGCCUUCAUCAGGUGUCUUGGGGAAAUUUCGAACCUUGGUUCUCAUUCUUAAGAAUGGAUUAUACUUCUAUGGAUCUUGGUCUGUGAAACCCAUCAAUUAAUAGACUGGUACUGCUACUGUUUGUUGGACCUGUAACUAUAAGACAAGAAAUCGGUAAUUAAAUGUCAUUAUGUCUGAGCAAGCUCAACCACGUGAGAAUGAUUUCCAUAUGAAAUGUUGCAGUGACAUGUUUUUGAAGAUGUUGAUUAUAAUUAUGUUGGAUAUAAUUGGUUUUUUGUUUUUUUUUAUUUAGAUCACAAAUAGUAUAGAAGCCAAAAUAGAGUCUGCAUCCCUAUAAUUCUUUAUUUACCAUUCCGAUUCUCAUAGGUCAGUGGUUCCCAAACUGGGUGAUAUUGCCUCCUCGAGAGAGCAGUGGAAAGUUCCAGGGGUGUGAUAAUGGGGCAGAGAUUCAUGUAAAAAGUGGAAUGAUAAUGGGGUAGCAAUUCACGUAAAAAGUGGGGUGAUAAUGGGGUAGCGAUUCGUGUAAAAACAACAAAAUAAUGGGUUCAUUAGGUUAAGUUUUAUUUGUGAAAUACAGUUGCUUUGAAUUUGUUUCAGAAAGAGGUCGAUGAUUGUGAUGGGUAGUUGUGGGGGUGCUAGGAAUGUGGCCUGGGUGUUAAGGGGGCGGCAGCUUGCAAAAUUUGGGAACCACUGUCAUAGCUACUCCUUAUGAGAAACACUGCCAUAGCAGUAAGAUUAUUCAGCUCAAAAUUGUAAAGCUGUGAGUUCAAUUCCCAGCAGGGAGUUGUGUCCUUGAGCAAGACACUUUACUUCCCACAGUUCCAGUCCACUCAGCUGGCAAAAAUGAGAAGUAUUUGUAUUCAGAAAAGCUAGUCUUGCCGUUUUCUGUGUCAAGCAAGCUGUUCCGUUGGCCGGAUCAACUGGAAGCCUUGUUGUUGUAAUCAACAGUGUCACUUUUCUAUGAACAGAACUGUAAUUAUAACAGAAGCCUAUUAUGUGGCUUGCAGCUUAUAAAAGGUGCAGAUGUGGCUGUGUAGUAAGAAAUCUGCUUCCCAACAACAAGGUCUUGGUUUCAGUCCCACUGCAUGGCUCUUGAGCCAAGUAUCUUCUACAACAACCCCAGGCUGAUAAAAGUCUGGUGAAGAGAUUUGGUAGAUGGAAACUCAAACAAGUCCAUCGUAUAUGUAUGCAUGUGUGUGUGUGUGCACGCCUUACUCUCUCUCUCUUGUCUUGACAUCAUGUGCUAGUUGUAGACAAAAGUCACUGUCAUGCAAGCAGAGUCCUCUGUUUCCAGUCUUCUUUGAAAGUAAACCUGGUUAUGGAGACAUUUAUAUUACUUGGAAACAGUUGAGGGUUGGCAACAGGAAGAGCAUCAAACUAUUGAAAAAUAACCUCAACAAACUGAGCCCAAUCGAUGCGAGCAUGGGAAAGUGAAUGUAAAAACAAUGAUGAUGGUGGUGAUGGUGAUUAAAUUAAUGUUUAGCUUUAAGCAACAUUUCCAUGUUGGUUUUCACAGACUUUGUCCAUAUUUUCAUAUAUCUCAGACUAUAAUAUCCAAGGUGGAGGUGCAAUGGCCCAGUGGUUAGGGCAGCGGACUCACAGUCAUAGGAUCGUGGUUUUGAUUCCCAGACCGGGUGUUGUGAGUGUUUAUUGAGCGAAAACACCUAAAGCUCCACGAGGUUCUGGCAGGGGAUGGUGGCGAACCCUGCUGUACUCUUUCACCACAACUUUCUCUCACUCUUACUUCCUCUUUCUGUUGUGCCUGUAAUUCAAAGGGCCAGCCUUGUCACACUGUGUCACGCUGAAUAUCCCCCGAGAACUACGUUAAGGGUACACGUGUCUGUGGAGUGCUCAGCCACUUGCAUGUUAAUUUCACGAGCAGGCUGUUCUGUUGAUUGGAUCAACAGGAACCCUCGAUGUCGUAAGCGACGGAGUGCCAACAACAACAACAACAUAUUAUCCAAUGUGUCCAGGGGAAAAUCUGAAACUGCAUAACAACCUAUGGAAUGCUAACAUGCUGCAAGAAAGAUUGUGGGGGUGCCCCCAAAGGAACAGGUUAACAAAAAGCUAAUACAGGAGGACAGAAUAAGGGAAGGGGUGAAGAAUUUUUAGUCAAAUGAACUGACUCCAGUUCUUACAUUUUCUUAAGCCUUGUUCUUAUUCUAUGGAUUUCUUUAGCUGAACUGCUAAGUUGUGGGGAUAUAAACACACCAGCAUUGAUUAUUGAAUGGUACUGAGGGGCAAGCACAAACAAAAACACACACACACACAUACAUAUAUAUAUAUAUAUAUAUAUAUAUAUAUAUAUACAGAAGGCUUCUUUCAGUUUCUC